rnacentral:rRNA from 1 species
CCAGACUCCUACGGGAGGCAGCGGUGGGGAAUAUUGCACAAUGGGCGCAAGCCUGAUGCAGCCAUGCCGCGUGUGUGAAGAAGGCCUUCGGGUUGUAAAGCACUUUCAGCGGGGAGGAAGGCAAUAAGGUUAAUAACCUUGUUGAUUGACGUUACCCGCAGAAGAAGCACCGGCUAACUCCGUGCCAGCAGCCGCGGUAAUACGGAGGGUGCAAGCGUUAAUCGGAAUUACUGGGCGUAAAGCGCACGCAGGCGGUCUGUCAAGUCGGAUGUGAAAUCCCCGGGCUCAACCUGGGAACUGCAUUCGAAACUGGCAGGCUGGAGUCUUGUAGAGGGGGGUAGAAUUCCAGGUGUAGCGGUGAAAUGCGUAGAGAUCUGGAGGAAUACCGGUGGCGAAGGCGGCCCCCUGGACAAAGACUGACGCUCAGGUGCGAAAGCGUGGGGAGCAAACAGGAUUAGAUACCCCAGUACCU